rnacentral:rRNA from 1 species
UACGUAGGGUGCGAGCGUUGUCCGGAAUUAUUGGGCGUAAAGAGCUCGUAGGCGGUCUGUCGCGUCGGUCGUGAAAACUUGGGGCUUAACCCUGAGCUUGCGGUCGAUACGGGCAUGACUGGAGUUCGGCAGGGGAGACUGGAAUUCCUGGUGUAGCGGUGAAAUGCGCAGAUAUCAGGAGGAACACCGGUGGCGAAGGCGGGUCUCUGGGUCGAUACUGACGCUGAGGAGCGAAAGCGUGGGGAUCAAACAGG